AGAACGAACGCUGGCGGCAUGCCUAAUACAUGCAAGUCGAACGAACACUUCGGUGUUAGUGGCGCACGGGUGCGUAACGCGUGGGAAUCUGCCCUUGGGUUCGGAAUAACAGUUGGAAACGACUGCUAAUACCGGAUGAUAUCGAAAGAUCAAAGAUUUAUCGCCCAGGGAUGAGCCCGCGUAGGAUUAGCUAGUUGGUGAGGUAAAGGCUCACCAAGGCGACGAUCCUUAGCUGGUCUGAGAGGAUGAUCAGCCACACUGGGACUGAGACACGGCCCAGACUCCUACGGGAGGCAGCAGUAGGGAAUAUUGGACAAGUGGGCGA
rnacentral:rRNA from 1 species